rnacentral:lncRNA from 1 species
ACAAACCAUCUUUCCCGACUCAGCAGAGGCCCACAGGGGCGCAGCCGCUGUCCCUCCGCCCUUGGCCCAGCGGCGCCGCCCUGGUACGCCAGGCCUGAAGGCAGGGCCGGCCCGCGCCACGCAGGGUCUCCCUUAGGCGGCGCCUUAGGGUGAUGAGGAGGUGGUUAGUAAGGCCAACUUAAAUGGUUGUGCAUAAGGAUGCUGGGCCAAGUGGGUGAGGAGGGACUGAAAUUGUGUGCUUUGUCUGCUAAACCUGUGCCCUUGUGUAGAGAUUGUGUACCUAGAGGAGGAGCCUUUCUCUUAACAAAGUGUAACAGCAUGAGCUCUCAGAGGCUCUGGUGGACAGAGAUGAGUUCCAGAGGCCAGAAGUGAUUGAUUCCUGUUCCGUAAUGAUAGUAGG